AAAGUCGUAACAAGGUAACCGUAGGUGAACCUGCGGUUGGAUCAUUAAUAAUAUGUUGCCCAAAGUAGUGAGAGGUUCUCGUAAUCAUAUCCUACUGCGGGUUAAUAACACCUGUGCACCGUUGGGAAGGUUGCUUUUCAAGUACGAGACUGACUUUGGUUAGUAUCGGAACAAUUGGUAGCUGACCUUACAAACUUCUAUAAUUUGACUGAGUUUAUUUAUUAAUUUAAAUCAUAAACAACUUUAGACAACGGAUCUCUUGGCUCUC
rnacentral:misc_RNA from 1 species